rnacentral:lncRNA from 1 species
GGAUUCCGAGGAAUUCGAGGCGGAUCCUAUCACGUUUCUUCUUCCUCCUUUCGCAUUUAUGGUGAGCCAACUUCAACAACAAGUUACUUUUUAGUCAUAUGGGACUUUCAAGUUCCACUUACCUAAAAUCCCAUCUUGAAAUACCUCAUCCAAACACACUCUAAAAGAACUUUUGAACAAAUCACGUGUUGCUAGCAAAAUAAAAGGUCUCUUCGCAUCCCAUUGUGUUCUUGCACUUGUGAUGUAAAUGUUGAGAUGACAAGUCAG